GCGGAGGAAAAGAAACCAACAGGGAUUGCCUCAGUAACGGCGAGUGAAGCGGCAACAGCUCAAAUUUGAAAUCUGGCCUCGGCCCGAGUUGUAAUUUGUAGAGGAAGCUUUUGGUGCGGCACCGACCGAGUCCCCUGGAACGGGGCGCCAUAGAGGGUGAUAGCCCCGUAUGGUUGGACGCCUAUCCUCUGUAAAGCUCCUUCGACGAGUCGAGUAGUUUGGGAAUGCUGCUCUAAAUGGGAGGUAGAUUCCUUCUAAAGCUAAAUACCGGCCAGAGACCGAUAGCGCACAAGUAGAGUGAUCGAAAGAUGAAAAGCACUUUGAAAAGAGGGUUAAAUAGCACGUGAAAUUGUUGAAAGGGAAGCGCCUGUGACCAGACUUGCGCCCCGUCGAUCAUCCGGGGUUCUCCCCGGUGCGCUCGGCGGGGCUCAGGCCAGCAUCGGUUCUCGCGGGGGGACAAAGGCUCCGGGAACGUAGCUCCUCCGGGAGUGUUAUAGCCCGGGGCGUAAUGCCCUCGCGGGGACCGAGGACCGCGCUUCGGCAAGGAUGCUGGCGUAAUGGUCACCGGCGACCCGUCUUGAAACACGGACCAAGGAGUCAAGGUUUUGCGCGAGUGUCUGGGUGUAAAACCCGCACGCGUAAUGAAAGUGAACGUAGGUGAGAGCUUCGGCGCAUCAUCGACCGAUCCUGAUGUAUUCGGAUGGAUUUGAGUAGGAGCGUUAAGCCUUGGACCCGAAAGAUGGUGAACUAUGCUUGGAUAGGGUGAAGCCAGAGGAAACUCUGGUGGAGGCUCGCAGCGGUUCUGACGUGCAAAUCGAUCGUCAAAUCUGAGCAUGGGGGCGAAAGACUAAUCGAACCAUCUAGUAGCUGGUUACCGCCGAAGU
rnacentral:rRNA from 1 species